UAGCAGCACGGAAUGGUUUGUGGGUUACACUGAGAUACAGGCCAUACUGUGCUGCUGCA
rnacentral:pre_miRNA from 1 species